AGCGAACGCUGGCGGCAGGCCUAACACAUGCAAGUCGAGCGCCCCGCCAGGGGACCGGCAGACCGGUGAGUAGCACGUGGGAACGUACCCUCUGGUUCGGAACAACCCAGGGAGACUUGGGCUAAUACCGGAUAAGUCCGCGAGGAGAAGGAUUUAUCGACGAAGGCUCGGCGCGCGUCUGAUUAGCUAGUUGGCGUGGUAACGGCGCACCAAGGCGACGAUCAGUAGCUGUUCUGAGAGUAUGAUCAGACACACUGGGACUGAGACACAGCACAGACUCCUACGGGAGGCAGGAGUGGGUGAUAGUGGAAAAUGGGGGCAACGCUGAUGCAGCCAUGACGCGUGAGCGAUGAAGGCCGUAGGGUUGUAAAGCUCUUUCGGUGGGGAAGGUAAUGACGGUACCCACAGAAGAAGCCCCGGCUAACUUCGUG
rnacentral:rRNA from 1 species